UUAGGACGAACGCUGGCGGCGUGCCUAAUACAUGCAAGUCGAACGCUUCCACCGGUGCUUGCACCGGGAAAGAAGAGUGGCGGACGGGUGAGUAACACGUGGGUAACCUACCUACAAGCGGGGGAUAACAUUCGGAAACGGAUGCUAAUACCGCAUAGGAUCGUUUUUGUCUACCUGGCAGAAAGAAGAAAGACGGUUUCGGCUGUCGCUUGGUAGAUGGACCCGCGGCGCAUUAGUUAGUUGGUGAGGUAAUGGCUCACCAAGACGAUGAUGCGUAGCCGACCUGAGAGGGUGAUCGGCCACACUGGGACUGAGACACGGCCCAGACUCCUACGGGAGGCAGCAGUAGGGAAUCUUCCGCAAUGGACGAAAGUCUGACGGAGCAGCGCCGCGUGAGUGAAGAAAGGUUUUCGGAUCGUAAAACUCUGUUGUUAGAGAAGAACAAGGAUGAGAGUAACUGCUCGUCCCUUGACGGUAUCUAACCAGAAAGCCAUGGCUAACUACGUGCCAGCAGCCGC
rnacentral:rRNA from 1 species